rnacentral:rRNA from 1 species
CAGCCGCCGCGGUAAUACGUAGGGGGCGAGCGUUGUCCGGAAUUAUUGGGCGUAAAGCGCGCGCAGGCGGUCCUUUAAGUCUGAUGUGAAAGCCCACGGCUCAACCGUGGAGGGUCAUUGGAAACUGGGGGACUUGAGUGCAGGAGAGGAGAGCGGAAUUCCACGUGUAGCGGUGAAAUGCGUAGAGAUGUGGAGGAACACCAGUGGCGAAGGCGGCUCUCUGGCCUGUAACUGACGCUGAGGCGCGAAAGCGUGGGGAGCAAACAGGAUUAGAUACCCUGGUAGUCCACGCCGUAAACGAUGAGUGCUAAGUGUUAGAGGGGUCACACCCUUUAGUGCUGUAGCUAACGCGAUAAGCACUCCGCCUGGGGAGUACGGCCGCAAGGCUGAAACUUAAAGGAAUUGGCGGG